UGACUAAGGUACACGGUGGAUGCCCUGGCAGUCAGAGGCGAUGAAGGACGCUAAUCUGCGAAAAAGCGACGGCGAGGUGAUAUGAACCUUGACCCGUCGAUGUCCGAAUGGGGAAACCCAGUGUGAUCCGUCACACCAUCGUUAACUGAAUACAUAGGUUAACGAGGCGAACCGGGGAACUGAAACAUCUAAGUACCCCGGGAGGAAAAAGAAAAAUCAACCGAGAUUCCCCAGUAGCGGCGAGCGAACGGGGAGCAGCCCGGAGUCUGAAUCAGCUUGUGUGUUAGUGGAAGUGUCUGGAAAGUCGCACGGUACAGGGUGACAGUCCUGCACACGAAAAUGCACAGGUUGUGAACUCGAAGAGUAGGGCGGGACACGUGGUAUCCUGUCUGAAUAUGGGGGGACCAUCCUCCAAGGCUAAAUACUCCUGACUGACCGAUAGUGAACCAGUACCGUGGGAGGGAAAGGCGAAAAGAACCCCGGCGAGGGGAGGAAAAAAGAACCUGAAACCGUGUACGUACAAGCAGUGGGGGAGCACCUCGUGGUGUGACUGCGUACCUUUUGUAUAAUGGGUCAGCGACUUAUAUCUGUAGCAAGGUUAAUCCGUAUAGGGGAGCUGCAGGGAAACCGAGUCUUAACUGGGCGUUAAGUUGCAGGGUAUAGACCCGAAACCCGGUGAUUCAGCCAUGGGCAGGUUGAAGGUUGGGUAACACUAACUGGAGGACCGAACCGACUAAUGUUGAAAAAUUAGCGGAUGACCUGUGGCUGGGGUGAAAGGCCAAUCAAACUGAGAUAGCUGGUUCUCCCGAAAGCUAUUUAGGUAGCGCUCUCGUGAACUCAUUCUCCUUCGGGGUAGAGCACUGUUUCGGCGAAGCUAUCCCGGCUUACCAACCUGAUGCAAACUACAAUACCGAAGAAUGUUAUCACGGGAGACAAUAAUCACGGCGGGUGCUAACGUCCGUCGUGAAGAGGGAAACAAACCCAGACCGCCAAGGUCCCAAAGUCAUGGUUAAGUGAAACGAUGGGAAGGCACAGACAGCCGUGAUGUUGGCUUAGAAGCAAGUUUCAUCAUUUAAAGAAAGCGUAGCCAGCUCACUGGUCGAGUCGGCCUGCGCGGAAGAUGUAACGGGGCUAAACCAUGCAACUGAAGCUGUGGCAGCGACGCUUAUGCGUUGUUGGGUAGGGAGCGUUCUGUAAGCCGUCGAAGGUGUGCUGUGAGGCAUGCUGGAGGUAUCAGAAGUGCGAAUGCUGACACAAGUAACGAUAAAGGGUGAAAAGUUUCUCCGCCUGCCGGAAGACCAAGGGUUCCUGUCCAACGUUAAUCGGGGGCAGGGUGAGUCGACCCCUAAGGCGAGGCCGAAAGGCGUAGUCGAUGGAAACAGGUUAAUAUUCCCUGUAAUUUGGUGUUACUCGCGAAGGGGGACGGAGUAGCGCUAUGUCAGCCGGGCGACGGUUGUCCCACGGCGUGUAGGUGUGUGUUCCGGUGCAAACUGGUUCACUUAACACUGAGGCGUGAUGACGAGGCACUACGGUGCUGAAGUGAUAAAUGCCCUGCUUCCGGUGAAAGCCUCUAAGCACUGUGGUGUACCGUUUGCAAAAUUCAAAAAUUCCAAACCGACACAGGUGGUCAGGUAGAGAAUACCGCUGCGCUUGAGAGAACUCGGGUGAAGGAACUAGGCAAAAUGGUGCCGUAACUUCGAGAAGGCACGCUGAUAUGUAGGUGAAGUCCCUGCGGACGGAGCUGAAAUCAGUCAGAAGAUACCAGCUGGCUGCAAUGUUUAUUAAAACCUGGCACUGUGCAAAACACGAAAGUGGACAUUAUACGGUGUGACGCACCCAGUGCCGGAAGGUUGAUGAUGGGGUUAGCGCGGCAACGCGAGGCUCUGAUCGGAAACCCCGGUAAACGGCGGCCGUAACCUAUAACAGUCCUAAUUUGGCAGAAAUUCCUUGUCAGGGUAAGUUCCGACCUGCACGAAUGGCGUAAUGAUGGCGGGCUGCAUCUCCGCGAGACUCAGUGAAAUUGAACUCGCUGUGAAGAUGCAGUGUACCCGCGGCAAGACAGGAAAGACCCCGUAACCUUUACUAUAGCUUGACACUGAACACUGGUCCUUGAUGUGUAGGAUAGGUGGGAGGCUUUGAAGCGUGGACGCCAGUCUGCGUGGAGCCGUCCUUGAAAUACCACCCUUUAAUGGCUGGUGUUCUAACGUGGACCCGUGAUCGGGUUGCGGACAGUGUCUGGUGGGUAGUUUGACUGGGGCAGUCUCCUCCCAAGGAAAGUAACGGAGGAGCACGAAGGUUAACUAAUCGGUCGGACAUCAGGAGGUUGAGAUUGCAAUGGCGCCAUAAGCCCAAAGCUUGACUGCACGAGGUGACAGCUCGAGCAGGUGCAGCAAGGUCAUAGUAGAUCCGGUGGUUCUGAAUGGAACCAUCGCUCGCGGAUAAAGGUACUCCGGGAUAACAGGCUGAUACCGCCCAAAGAGUUCAUAUCGACGGCGGUGUUUUGGCACCUCGAUGUCGGCUCAUCACAUCCUGGGCUGAAGUAGGUCCCAGGGUAUAGUAUUCGCCAUUUAAAAUUAAUUUACGCGAGCUGGGUUUAGAACGUCGUGAGACAGUUCGAUUAUCUACCGUGGGCGCUGGAGGGUGAGGGCUGCUCUAGUACCUUGGCGAGAGGGACCGGAGUGGACGCAUCGGUGUUCGGGUUAGUAGGCACCAGUGGCACCGCGGUAGCUAAAUGUCUGGAAGAGAUAAGUGCUGAAAGCAUCUAAGCGCAGAAACUUGCCCCGAGAGGAUGAGUUCUCCCUGAGACUUUAAAGUCUCCUGAAGGAACGUUGAAGACGACGACGAUUUGAUAGGCGCCAGGUGUGUAAAGCGCAGCGAUGCGUUGAACUAACCGGUACUAUGAACCGUGGGGAGAAACCUUAACCUUACAACGCCGAAGC
rnacentral:rRNA from 1 species